rnacentral:siRNA from 1 species
UGAUGUCUUGUAUUGUUGUUUCAA